GAAAUGCGAUAAGUAAUGUGAAUUGCAGAAUAUGCGAGUCAUCGAAUCCUUGAACGCAAAUGGCGCCCAUUGUUCUCCAAUGGGCACACCUGUUUGAGGGUCGUUUUCUUUAUCUCAAACCCGACCGGGUUGCUUACACAGCCUGGCUCAAUGGUGUUUGGACGUUGAGCAUUCGAUUGGGGCUCAUUUUCCCCGAUCGAUUGCUUGAAAUGCAGACAAAAAAAACGGGUGGCGCCGUUUGGCUCAACCUGCACAGUUGGGAAGGAAUAUUCUCCACCGGCAAGAGUUGAGUGUAAACGUGCAGCCCGACCGUUUUUACCCCAAGGAAAGGAAACCCAAUCUCACAAAACCGACCUCAAAUCAGGUGAGGUAACCCGCUGAACUUAA
rnacentral:misc_RNA from 1 species